rnacentral:tRNA from 1 species
GUUAUGGCUCAGUGGUAGAGCACUUGCCUUCCACAUGUGAGGCACUGGGUUCGAUCCUCAGCAUCACA